CACAGGUGUCAGCCCCCGAGACAAUCCAGCACAUAACUGCAAAACUGAAGGAAACCAAACGUGAGGCGCCUUCACCAAGUGGCUGCAUAGUGUACAGGAACAUCUGUGCAGGGUAUGGGCUGGAAACCCAAGGGAAACACCUCCAAAAAGGUGGAGAGAAUGACCCAGCCAUCUAAUCAUUCUUUAGCCCCGGGGGCGUGGUUUUAUGCAUUUCCUGACUAGAACCAGGAAGUAAUAAAGCUGCCUACAAAAAACGUGAAACAGAAUCAAAUUAUAUACAUUUAUUAAUUGAAAAUGCUGACAAACAAAAAGGAAAAACUAAAAUAUUGGAUACACUGAAUGCAAUAAGCACAAUGUUAUAUUGCUCAAGCAAAGAUUUAAAAAAAAAAGAUUAAGUAGCAUCACGGUUUUAUUCCAUAUAUUACAUAAGGCAAUGUUAAAAAAGGCACACACUUCAUUAGGUGUUUUGAGCCAAGGAGACUAUUUAAGUGUCCGGCAUAGCCUACUGGCAUCAUUAACAAGAUCCGUCGGCAGCGUUAUCAACAGGGCAGCUUCCCACAGCCCCUGGACAAAGAGUGACUCCUGUGCAUCAUCAGGAAGCACAGGUUACUACAGGUCAAACGCCUCGGACUCAUUUUACAUCAUACAUGAAGCCCGAAACAGUCAUGUCACGGAGCUUUUUCCAAGUCUACGGCCAAGUGUGUGCGUUAAAUCAGUGUUUCCCAACCAGGUGUACAUGAGGACUUGGAAAUAUGUCAGAUCUAAAGGUCAAACUAAACAGUAUUUCAGUAAUAUCUUAAAAUCUUCUUUUCAAUGAUAAUUUGCAGUGAAAUGUUUGAAUUGCAGAGUGUUUUUGCUUUACUUUUCAUUAACACAACACACAAAUAAUAAAUCUGAGUUAAGCCUCUACUUUUCUAAAUAACUGGCAGCACCUGAGAGUUAAGGGGUGCUUUGAGUAGAAAUGAAAGACUCAAGGGGCACACGACACAAAUAAGCUUGGGAACCACUGAGUUAAAUGAGUGGGAAACUUCAAUUUUUGUUUCAGCUAAGGUCUACAGGAUCUUGUUUACUAGGACGAUUCACACUCAAGUAAUAUGUUUACCUUAAAAUGUGUCCUGUGUCCAAAGUUUAUAAACCAAAUGCAUUGAAAAGUGCAUUAACACAAAAUGUAACAAAGUGCUGUGUAACUGCUCCUGGAAAACAAAGGAAUGCAGAAUAAAAAAUGCCUCCAAACACACGUAUUGAAAGUAUUGCGAUACUUGAUAAAGUCCCGAUAUUUUGUCCCAGCCCUAUUGUUUACUAGGGCUGGGACAAAAUAUCGGAUCGGACUUGGAUUGCAAUACUGUGUGCAGCAAUACCAAGUAUCGCAAUACUUUCAAUACUUGUGUUUGGAGGCAUUUUUUACUCAUACACUACUUUGUUUUCCGGUAACAGUUCUACAGCACUUGUGUUAAUGCACUUUUCAAUCUAAA
rnacentral:lncRNA from 1 species